UGCAUGAAGUUGGAAUCGCUAGUAAUCGCGGAUCAGCAUGCCGCGGUGAAUACGUUCCCGGGCCUUGUACACACCGCCCGUCACACCAUGAGAGUCGGGAACACCCGAAGUCCGUAGCCUGACCGCAAGGGGGCGCGGCCGAAGGUGGGUUCGAUAAUUGGGGUGAAGUCGUAACAAGGUACC
rnacentral:rRNA from 1 species